rnacentral:lncRNA from 1 species
AGACGUGGCGGCUCUCGCCUGGGCUGUUUCCCGGCUUCAUUUCUCCCGACUCAGCUUCCCACCCUGGGCUUUCCGAGGUGCUGUCGCCGCUGUCCCCACCACUGCAGCCAUGAUCUCCUUAACGGACACGCAGAAAAUUGGAAUGGGAUUAACAGGAUUUGGAGUGUUUUUCCUGUUCUUUGGAAUGAUUCUCUUUUUUGACAAAGCACUACUGGCUAUUGGAAAUAAGAGGAAUGAGACAAGUGGAACAAAGCUACAACUUUAAAAUGCAUAACCCACUCCUUGGUUCUGCUGCUUGGUUGUACAUUACAGUUCUGUCUGGCCAGUUGCCCACAUUAAAAGCCAAACAAAUGUGCUUCUUUUUUUAUAUUUAGCUUUGACUUUACGUUUAAAAUUUAUGCAUUGUGUUUAAUUACCUUUUCCGUGUUGUAUUUUCUUUCUCUUUUAGGUUUUAUUUGUAGCCGGCUUGGCUUUUGUAAUUGGUUUAGAAAGAACAUUCAGAUUCUUCUUCCAAAAACAUAAAAUGAAAGCUACAGGUUUUUUUCUGGGUGGUGUAUUUGUAGUCCUUAUUGGUUGGCCUUUGAUAGGCAUGAUCUUCGAAAUUUAUGGAUUUUUUCUCUUGUUCAGGGGCUUCUUUCCUGUCGUUGUUGGCUUUAUUAGAAGAGUGCCAGUCCUUGGAUCCCUCCUAAAUUUACCUGGAAUUAGAUCAUUUGUAGAUAAAGUUGGAGAAAGCAACAAUAUGGUAUAACAACAAGUGAAUUUGAAGACUCAUUUAAAAUAUUGUGUUAUUUAUAAAGUCAUUUGAAGAAUAUUCAGCACAAAAUUAAAUUACAUGAAAUAGCUUGUAAUGUUCUUUACAGGAGUUUAAAACGUAUAGCCUACAAAGUACCAGCAGCAAAUUAGCAAAGAAGCAGUGAAAACAGGCUUCUACUCAAGUGAACUAAGAAGAAGUCAGCAAGCAAACUGAGAGAGGUGAAAUCCAUGUUAAUGAUGCUUAAGAAACUCUUGAAGGCUAUUUGUGUUGUUUUUCCACAAUGUGCGAAACUCAGCCAUCCUUAGAGAACUGUGGUGCCUGUUUCUUUUCUUUUUAUUUUGAAGGCUCA